CUUAAGAACUUCUGGCCUUGUGAACUCAGCCUCACCUCAAGGCAAACCUCACAUAUUAGUGCAGUGUCUGCUUCUCAGAGGACCCAGCUCCACACAGAGGGCAACCAGACCCCUGGAGUGACCAGUCCCUGGAGUUAGGAUCUGCUGACAGAACCAGACAAGAGCCUUCAGCUACCCAGAGGAAAGGGGGAGGUUCUAAGGAGACAACCCAUUUUUGGAACAGGAAUGAGGUUGGAUGUGGACCUGGAGGGAAAGAUCUGAUGUCUGAUCCAGACACAGCUCCACUCAUACUCCUGUGACCAUGAGGGGUCUUGGCUGCCUCAACCAGCCUUUGUGCAGAGGCGAAAAGUUGAGUGUGCCAUGAAGUUUAAGAGCUUGGAGAAUUGCCGUGCAAAAGUGUCAUGAGAUUCCUCUUGAUUACCACAUUCAUGACUGCUUGAGUGGGUUUAAACAGCAGAGGAAUGAGGAUGCCUUCUGGGAUUUCUCAAUCUGUGCUGCACAGCCUGCCCCACAGGGUGGUGUGAUCUGAUUCAUGUGCAAGGACUCAGUACUGAGCAGGGAAAAACGAUCAGAUGGGUUGACCAUGGUCUAGAGCUCUCAGAAUGGGGAGACCUGUCACAGGAGGAAUGUCCUCAAGUCCACUCAGACCCCUGCUGAUCACAGGCCUUCUCCAGAUUUCAGAACUACCCAAGGGAAUGGGAAACCAGCUCAUGUUCCUCUCUCUGCUUCUCAGGGACCACACACUGUUGCCAUCCCAUUCCUGACCCCAUCCCAGGGUCUAAUUUUACGAGUCUGGAGUCCUUGUGCAACUGUUCAAAAGGCUCUUGGUUGAGAGCCAGCGGCGCCCUCCCUACUUACUCAGCUGAUCCAGUGCAAGUUGCUCCACCCUGGCCCAGCUCCUCACCCCUUUCUCCAAGGAAAGCGGGCAUCUCAGUGCAUCUCACUGGCUGGUACAGGGCAGAGAUGGACACGUGCCCUUCUGGGGACGGUUAGACAGUCCUCAGAUGCAGACCAAGGAGGGAGUACCUCUUUCCAGUGUCAAGUCCUUGGGUAGAAAUUCAUGUGAUAGAUUCACGGGUAUGACACACUUUUCCCUCACUGUCCUAAAACUGGGCACGUUGAGUUACCAAGGGGCUGAACUGGUUGCCGUCUCUUUAUAAGGACACUUAAUGCUGGAGAUUUUGAUGGAGACCAACACCCUUCUGAGACAGGGAGGGUUGACUUCUGCUCCGGUCUAUUCCACAGUCAUCAGGGCAGAUUGAGAGAGGAGUCUUUUUCUCCAUUCAUUAGAGCACAGCUCAAGGGGACACACAGAAGGACCUGGGAGACCGCCGCUGAGCUGAUGGGGAGGAACACCUCUUAUAGCCUGUCCCCAGCCUUGUCCCUACCCAAAUCCAUGUGGGCGCUUUUCGGAGCUUGCAGUGGAUGCCAGCUGGGACCCACCAUGAUGUUCCCAGCACCCUUUCCCCAGUCCCUCCACUGCCCUUUGAUCAGCUCUAUAGUAGGGUAUCUAGACAUCGUAUCCCAGGGUCCAUCUGACCCCAGCGCUGGCUUCUGUCUGUUGCCCCUUCUACUUUGUCUGCACAGCACUCUCCCUUCUCUUUAACUCCUGACUCAGUUCCUCACAGCUCAUGUGUCCUGGACCCUGCAGAGAGAGGGGACAGAGAGAGAAGGAGAGGCAGGGGAAUACAGAGAGGGGAAGAGAAAGAGAAGAAACCAUCCUACUCCCUAUCCACCUGGGGAUCUCAGCUUCCCCACACAGACCAGAGGCAGAGCCUGCUCUCAGCUGCCAUUGCCUUGUCUCUUCUGCCUGUGCCCGGCUGGGCCUUUGUCAUUGUUUCUAUCUUAAGAGUGGGACCGGGCUGGAGAGAUGGCUCAGAGGUUAACAGCAUUGCCUGCUCUUCCAGAGGUCCUGAGUUCAAU